GAGAUAAGGCCUCACUAGCUUGCUCAGGCUGGUCCUUAGCUGACCUCAGGUGAUCCUCCCGCCUCAGCCUCCCAAAACACUGGGAUUACCACUGCUGCCAACCAAGCUGGAGUGCGAUGGCGUGAUCUCGGCUCACUGCAACCUCUGCCUCCCGGGUUCAAGUCAUUCUCCUGCCUCAGCAUCCCAGGAUGUGCCGACCACAACCUGGAGAAAUGGCAUGAAGACAGAGGCUACAUGAUCAAGAUGGAGCAGCAGUCCAGGGUGGAGGACCUACUGCAGAAUGUGUGAGCUCCACAGCCCAGGGACUCUCCAGAAAGCUAGAAAAUAGGCCAGGCGCGGUGCUCACGCCUGAAAUCCCAGCACUUUGGGAGGCCGAGGCGGGCAGAUCACCUGAGGUUAGGAGUUCGAGACCAGCCUGGCCAACAUGGUGAAACCCUGACUCUCCUAAAAAUAUAAAAAUUAGCCGGGCAUGGUGGUACGCGCCUGUAAUCCCAGCUACUCGGGAGGCCGAGGCAGAAGAAUCACUUGAACCAGGCAGGUAGAGUUUGCAGUGAGCCAAGAUCGCACCAUUGCACUUCAGCCUGGGCAACAGAGCGAGACUCCAUCUCAAAAACAAAACAAAACAAAACAAAAAAGCUAGAAAAUAAAUGGAUUUCACAGAAUCCCACACCAUG